AACGAACGCUGGCGGCAUGCCUAACACAUGCAAGUCGAACGAGACCUUCGGGUCUAGUGGCGCACGGGUGCGUAACGCGUGGGAAUCUGCCCUUGGGUUCGGAAUAACAGUUAGAAAUGACUGCUAAUACCGGAUGAUGUCGAAAGACCAAAGACUUAUAGCCCAAGGAUGAGCCCGCGUAGGAUUAGGUAGUUGGUGGGGUAAAGGCCCACCAAGCCGACGAUCCUUAGCUGGUCUGAGAGGAUGAUCAGCCACACUGGGACUGAGACACGGCCCAGACUCCUACGGGAGGCAGCAGUGGGGAAUAUUGGACAAUGGGCGAAAGCCUGAUCCAGCAAUGCCGCGUGAGUGAUGGAGGCCUUAGGGUUGUAAAGCUCUUUUACCAGGGAUGAUAAUGACAGUACCUGGAGAAUAAGCUCCGGCUAACACCGUGCCAGCCGCCGCCGUAAUAC
rnacentral:rRNA from 1 species